rnacentral:rRNA from 1 species
GACGAACGCUGGCGGCGUGCUUAACACAUGCAAGUCGAACGCUGAAGCUCAGCUUUUGUUGGGUGGAUGAGUGGCGAACGGGUGAGUAACACGUGAGUAACCUGCCCCCUUCUUUGGGAUAACGCCCGGAAACGGGUGCUAAUACUGGAUAUUCACUGGUCUUCGCAUGGGGGUUGGUGGAAAGGGUUUUUCUGGUGGGGGAUGGGCUCGCGGCCUAUCAGCUUGUUGGUGGGGUGAUGGCCUACCAAGGCUUUGACGGGUAGCCGGCCUGAGAGGGUGACCGGUCACAUUGGGACUGAGAUACGGCCCAGACUCCUACGGGGGGCAGCAGUGGGGAAUAUUGCACAAUGGGCGCAAGCCUGAUGCAGCGACGCCGCGUGAGGGAUGGAGGCCUUCGGGUUGUGAACCUCUUUCGCUCAUGGUGAAGCCGCAACAAUGGUUGUGGUGAGGGUAGUGGGUAAAGAAGCGCCGGCUAACUACGUG